rnacentral:rRNA from 1 species
GACGAACGCUGGCGGCGUGCUUAACACAUGCAAGUCGAGCGGUAAGGCCCUUUCGGGGGUACACGAGCGGCGAACGGGUGAGUAACACGUGGGUGACCUGCCCUCAGCUCUGGGAUAAGCCUGGGAAACCGGGUCUAAUACUGGAUAUGACUCCAUGACGCAUGUUGUGGGGUGGAAAGCCUUGUGCGGCUGAGGAUGGGCCCGCGGCCUAUCAGCUUGUUGGUGGGGUGANGGCCUACCAAGGCGACGACGGGUAGCUGGUCUGAGAGGAUGAUCAGCCACACUGGGACUGAGACACGGCCCAGACUCCUACGGGAGCAGCAGUGGGGAAUAUUGGACAAUGGGCGAAAGCCUGAUCCAGCAAUGCCGCGUGUGUGAAGAAGGCCUGGCGGGUU